rnacentral:rRNA from 1 species
UAGCCGUAAACGAUACUCGCUAGGUGUCGGCCACGGUGCGACCGUUGUCGGUGCCGUAGGGAAGCCGUGAAGCGAGCCACCUGGGAAGUACGGCCGCAAGGCUGAAACUUAAAGGAAUUGGCGGGGGGAGCACAACAACGGGUGGAGCUUGCGGUUUAAUUGGAUUCAACGCCGGAAAUCUUACCGGGACCGACAGCAACAUGAAGGCCAAGCUGAAGACUUUGCCGGAUUAGCUGAGAGGAGGUGCAUGGCGUAGACGUCU